ACAGAUUUAGCUCAGAGUUUGAGCUCCUGCCUCGCAUGCAGAAGACCCUGGAUUCCAUUCCCAGAGUUAUUC
rnacentral:tRNA from 1 species